AGCUUGCACAGGUGCUGCAUGGCUGUCGUCAGCUCGUGUCGUGAGAUGUUCGGUUAAGUCCGCUAACGAGCGCAACCCUCGCUGUGUGUUACAGGUGUCUACACGGUACUGCCGGUCUUAAGCCGGAGGAAGUGGGGAUGACGUCAAGUCAGCAUGGCCUUUAUGUCCUGGGCUACACACACGCUACAAUGGCCAACACAAUAGGUUGCUAAGCCGCGAGGUGGAGCCAAUCCUCAAAAGUUGGUCUCAGUUCAGAUUGCAGGCUGCAACCCGCCUGCAUGAAGAUGGAGUUGCUAGUAACCGCAGGUCAGCUAUACUGCGGUGAAUACGUUCCCGGGGCUU
rnacentral:rRNA from 1 species